AGUCAGCCCAGCCUAGAUGCCAGUCACAUGAGCUGAGAAGUUGAUUCCAGCUCCUAGCCAUUCUCGCCGCUCAGCCAUUUGGGUCAUCCCGGCUGAGGCCCUCAUCAUGGCCAGAGACAUACAAUGCCUGCUCUGCCUUGUCCUAAGUCCUGACCUGAAGAAUUCAUGAGGGGUCUUGCUGUGUUGACCAGGUUGGAGUGCAGUGGCAUGAUCUCAGCUCAUUGCAACCUCGCCUCCUGAGUUCAAGCAUUCUCCUCUCUCAGCCUCCCAAGUAGCUGGGACUACAGGCAUGUACCACCACACCUGGCAAAUCUUGCUAUCUGGAGCAGCUGGAGUGAUCCUAGAUGACUGAAACGUGCAAUGUGUUGGUCAACACUAAAUAAAGUCAAAGUAUUUAAAAAUCUUUCCUUUUAUUUUUAGUUGAUGCAUAAUAAUUGUCUAUAUUUAUGUGAUAUUUUGAUACAUGUAUACAAUGUGUAACAAUCAAAUCAGUGUAAUCGGCAUAUUCAUCACCUCCAGCAUUUAUCAUUUCUUUGUGCUGUGAACAUUCAAAAUUCUGUCUUCUAGCUUUUUGAAAAUAUACAAUAAAUCAUAGUUAACUAUUUUCACCCUAAUGUCUGCAGAACACCAGAACUCAUUCCUCCUCUCUAGCUGUAAUUUUGUAUUCAUUAACUAACC